rnacentral:rRNA from 1 species
UACGGAGGGUGCAAGCGUUAUCCGGAUUUACUGGGUUUAAAGGGUGUGUAGGCGGACUUUUAAGUCAGUGGUGAAAUCUUCGGGCUCAACCCGGAAACUGCCAUUGAUACUAUUAGUCUUGAAUCUUGUGGAGGUAGGCGGAAUGUGUCAUGUAGCGGUGAAAUGCAUAGAUAUGACACAGAACACCGAUUGCGAAGGCAGCCUACUACGCAAGUAUUGACGCUGAGGCACGAAAGCGUGGGGAUCAAACAGG